GUAUUGCAACGACUGGGGAGAGGGAUAGUUGCAAUGGACUACCGAAAGUACACACACACACACACACACACUACCCCUUUCACAACCUUUACAACAUUUUCUUCCUUUACUAAUUUAAGACACGUAAGAUAUCAACAUUAUAAUAUGUUACGUUAUUCAAUAAUGUUAUGAAAUAACAGCGGCAUUCUUUCUCACAACACCUUCCCGGUCCGCCCAAGGCUUUAAAUCCUUAUCGAUUUCCGGGAUAAUAUUCCCUUUAGCUCAGGGAGUAUUGAUCACAUACUUCAGAUACUUUACAUAAAGUAUAAUAAAAAUCCGGAUCCUGAGUCAACAGCAGCUCACGAGAACCCUACAAAGGUCUUGUUUACACUCGUUACACAUUGUGAAGGCAAAAAUAGUGCAGUACCUGUAUUAUUAUAAACUGGUCUAGAUCACAAAUUAUUUCUUUUGCAGUAAAUUAAUAGUUUGUAUCGUGAUUUAAAAGUCUGUGAUGAUUAAUUGGUUAUGAAAUAUUGAACGAUAAAUUUCCUGAUAAACACUCGACUCCCUUUGAAGCUUAAAAUUUUCUCUUUCCUGAGGCUUUUAAUAUUCAUUUGAUACUAACAUCCAUUUCUGUCGGAAUCACUCGUUUCUGAGUUAUGCUUAGAAUUGCAUAAGGUAAGUGGUAGGGCCAUUAAUAUUGUUGUGCGUGACUUGGGUGUUAAUACGGAAACGAUGGUUAUAGAACUUAAUUAAAAAAGCAGUGGAUAUUUUGCCGUGACUGGUAAGUAUCUAUUUAUGCUAUUUUACUGUGAGCUCUGAUUGGUUAAUUAACCAUUACCGACGAACAACGCGAGAAAUAUAUGUGACCAUGACCGACGGGUAUUUGGCACUUAUUUCUCCAUGAGUUGAUCGCUGUGUAGCUGUAAACGUACCUAACCAUAUUUUUUUGUGCAUAGAAACUUAUCAAUAUAAAAUAGGAAACAUUUACUAGAACCUAAUAGAACCUGACCUAAACAACCAAAGAAACCUACCUAACCCUACCUAACUUCCUAGCCAUCCCUGCCAUAUUAAACAAAAGUACAUAUGUUGAUAUCUGGUACCAAUGAAAGCAAUUUUGCUGAAGCAUCAUAGUAUAAUUUUACAUUUUUUGUGGGAGUGAAAGUAUGACUCAGACCGAGCGGGUUGUGAAUAAACAGAUGACACGCAAUGUUUGCGAUUCACGUUAAUUUCUUACUUCAAAUUACUUUUCGGUUAAUAUCCAUUUGCAACGGAAGUGGUAGUAGAAAAAGCUGUUCCUAUUGACAAGAUAUAACUAAUGGUAAACACAAAAUUGCACUUGCCAAGUUGGGGCUGAAACUGUAAUAAUACCUGGAAAAUACAUGAUUUAAGGGUAAAUUUUUACAAGUUGCCCAUAAUGGUUUUGGACAUGAAACUUACGUUUUUCCAGUGGCUUUUUGUGUGUUUUGAACGAUUCUGACCUUCAUUUAUAUUGCAAAUGACUCGUUUUUGAGUUUGACAUCUUGGGGGACCCAUAAGAAAUCUGGGUUUUGGGCUGGGCAUAGAGCAAAAAAGAGUGAUAUGCUAUAUAAAUGACCAAAGUUGGCACGGAUUUUUCGUUUUUAACAAGUAAGGAAAAGCCAAAAUUUUAGAAUCCGAGCCAAGUUUUGGAGAAAAAUUAUUAUCAAAUUCGAAUGCAUCACACCAAAACCCAUCGGAAACACUUCGGUUUCAUCUCAAAAUCAGUUUCUCUGCUAACCUAACCUGACCUAACCGCCAUUGAUGGGGGGUUGGCUCCGACUGCAGGCCCACCCCCCAGCAGAGGUCAUAUCGAAACAACCAAACUCACUUAACCAAACAUCAAUACUGGACUUAGAAAAUAUUCGAUGACACCCUAAUGUGAUUUUGACAAUACUUGACGAGAGUGGGCUGGCCUUAGCCUCAACUUGACAAAAUUUGGUCAAGAUUCAUUUGACACCAUAAUGAAAAUUUGAUAACUAAAAUAGGGUUUUCGGUAAUUAUUGACGACUGACCUACUGUACAGCCAAAUUUUCAAAGAAAACGAUUAUAAAAACGCCGCAAUUGCACUGUGUUUUAUAGUGGACGCUGAUGUAGUUUGUGCAAAUGUGGUAAAAGUGGUUAUUUCUAAAUUUAACCUAACUUAACCUUAUUUGAUAUGAAAAGCAGUUAGAAGACCUCACCUUCCUAACCAAACAAACCCCCGGUAUAUUAAACAGAAAGAACUUACUAUGAUAUGGUGCAAUUUUACGUUUUUUUGUGGACACUGAACAUCGGCAUUGAUCUGGUCCCCGGCAGCGGAUUGUUUUGAAAUAUGUCAUUAUGAUUGGCUGUUUACAUCCUGGGAUGAAACAUCACCACCUCGUUACCGGUACCCUCAAGAAUACAUAGUUGUGUGCGCCUAGGCGCCUAAUUAUCUACCAAACGAAGCAUUUUCUCAAGUAAUGAUUAUCGUAGCAGAACUCGCUGAUGAAAAUAUACUGUAGUAACAAAAUAAACAUAAAAUCAAAUAAUAAUGUGUUUGUGGGUCAGUUAUCAAUAUUAACAGGAUUUUCUUAUGUUUUUCAAUGUGAUUUAAACACUAUGGGUAAAAUUUUAGUUUUGGUCAUCCUUGUAUUUAGAUAUGCAAACUAUGUUUUUCCGACGGUUUUUUAUGUGUUUUGAAUGAUUUUGAUCUAAUCUCAGUAACCUAACCUAGCCACAGAACCCAGGAACUAUAUCUAGCCUAACCUAAAUUCCUAAGAUUCCCUGGAUGACCGAAACUAAAAUUAUACCCAAAUACUAUAUGACCCUUAUUUGUGGGAUGGGGUGAAUGGGUACCUUGUGAAACACCAAUACCACUGAUGGCCCGCUCACUUUGACACCUCUGUGUUUAGAGCAGGCAGUUGUGCGCCCCACCCAGAAUACAUCAUCGAGCCAGGGUACACACACACACACAUGUUGAUCUUUAGCUAUAAGAACAGGGUAAAGGAUUUCAGUACUGUACAUUAUAUGGCUAAGAAGAAUUUAUCCUGGGAAUGAGACAGAUGUCAGGACCAUGGCUAUUUAGGGGAGAUUAUGUAUAUUUAGGGGCAGGGCUGGCCUUAGGAGGUGUGGAGCCCAAUUGGGAACAAUUUUGGUAGGCCCCAGGUUCCCAGCCAAGUUCUGUAGAAUCAUAGAAAUAUAAAUAAAGUCUAUUACGUAUAGACUUUAUAUCUCUAUGGUAGAAUGGAAAGUAAUCAAAAUGUGCGCUUAAAAAGUGCAUGCGAGUUAAUGGACCAAACAGAUCUAUGCUACAUUUUAAUACGUAAUAUAAAAUUGCAGACAUGUAAACCUACAAGUAACAAACAAAAUGUGUAAAUCACCUCUGAAAAGUACAUAGUUACAAUACCACUUGCUUUAGUGACUGUGAAAUGAUAUGGUGUUACAUAUAUAUUGCAAUGUGUUGUUGUGUGUACUUGACGAGCUGAGAGUAGAUUACUCUAGCGCGGGGCCCCCUUAGGCGUGGGGUCCAAUUGGCUUAAGGCCGGCCCUGUUUAGGGGUCAUAGCAUGGUUGUUUCAAUCUGAAAUGUCUUUAUUAUUUAUUCUACUGUAUAUAGAUACAGUAGAAUUUAUAUAUGCAUUGUGGCAUUUGUCUUUUUUAAUACACAUCAUGUUUUUUUGGCAGAAGUGAAGAAUGGCAGAGGGAGAUAACGGCACAGUGUUGCCCCGCGACUGGGUGCUAAAGAGCUCACGGCGGUGUCCUGUUGCUAAGUACUAUUUCAAUACUAAGACUGGUCAAGCAACAUGGAUACAUCCACUUCUUCUGAAGGAAAGCAAAGAAGAUUGCUCCAAAGAACCAAAAGAACUUAAGAAAUCACCAAAGAAACGAAAGAAAGUUAAAAUUAAUUUAUCUGAAUCACAAGGAAGUAUAGUUAAUGAACUGAUAGUAAAAAGUGACGAAGCAGAGGUUACAUCCACAAACUCUGUAGCAGUAAGUUCUCACAGUCCUCACAGAAACAAUCCAGUGCAAGGAAGCCCAACUGUUACCGAGUCAGAUGACGGCAAGGCAAUAGACGAGGAGAAAUGGAACUCUAGAAAACCUGUGAAAUUUGCAUUUAAAGCAAAGACUGAACCAAAGAAAGACUCUUUGAGCGGCCAAAAAAAAAUUGUGUCAAUCCAUCCGAGCUUACUGAGAGCAAGAAAAGUUGCAGAAAAGUUACAGUGGUCGAAAAAAGUGAAAGAUAAGAAAGUUAAACCGCAGAGUGAAAGGACAGUUCCAUCGAUAAAAUUAGAAGAGAAAGUAGAUGUUCCAGAUAAUAAAUUAAAAGAAUCAGUGGAGAAGACUAGAAAAGGUAAAAUAACUGCAGUAAGCACAAGAAGAAUUGUGAAGGCAAAGAGAAGGAUAGAAUAUGACAAAAAAGUGAAGGAAGAUGAAGCUUCUAUACAGGAGAUUAUUGAAGAAAUAAGUGGCAGUCCCUGUAAAAAGAAUGAAGAGUGCAAGGUAAAAAGUAAAGAGGAAAAGGUCCACUACAAACAUAAUAAGAAUAAUGAAUAUGAUGUGUAUAAGCACUUUGUAAAAUCUAAACAAGUUUCUCAUCAAACUUUAAAAUCUUCACAUAAAGAUAAUUAUCCUCCUGAGGAAAGUGAACUUCCUCCGCUUGAUAAAGUGGUACAUAAACAAGAACCUCAUUAUGAAGUUGAUACUGAAAAUGACUCUGAUGAAGUUACAGAAAUGGAAGUAGAGGAACAAGAGAUCAUUACUGAGAUUGCAAACUUCCGUGGAUCUGUCAGUCAUUCUCACAAAACAGACAGUAACCAACUGUUAACAACAAAUAUUAACAGCAACUCAGAGUCUGUCUGUAUUGUAGUUGACACAAAUAUACUUAUUCAAGAUAUUGGGUUCCUUGAAAGUCUCAAAUCAAAGGAAAUUGCAAAAAAGGAGGUUGUUAUUGUGAUCCCCUACACAGCAUUAAAAGAAAUGGAUGGACUAAAGAAAAAUGCAUCUAUUGGGAAGGCAUCUCAGGCUGCUAUAUGCUGGUGCAACAGUCACUUUGAAAAUAAUGACCCAAGAGUACAGGGACAAAGUUAUGACAACUACCUCAAGACAUUAGCCCACAGUCAACACCCUAGUGGUGAUGAUCUCAUCCGUGACUGCUGCCUGCUAUUAAAGAAAGAAAGUCUCGAUGUUUGCCUCCUCACAAAUGAUGUUAAUCUCCGCAAUAAGGCUUUGAUGUCAGCUAUUACUGCAAGCCUUGGUGUUAGAAGCCUAUGGAGUUGAACACAGUUUACCCACCCUCAACACAUCCGGUAAAAUGACUAGAGAAGGUGCACGAAGCAGUGGCAUAAACUUACACAAAGUCACCAUGAAAUUGGGAACUACAAUCUUCAGAUGUUUAUCUGAAGGAACAUCAGAAUCACUUCAAGAAUUUGGUCAUCUACUUAUAAAUUUCUGGGCAGAUGCCAAGCAACAAUGCCCAAACUUGCCUUUUACUGAAGAGGAUUUAACACAGGUUGUUACAG
rnacentral:misc_RNA from 1 species